UGUGCGUGUUUAUUUGGGGUGCCCGGGGGUGCGAUGCAGAAAGGCACCCGGUGGGAGGACUGAAGCACGGUGUCCUUGUAUGUACUGAAAUGAGCACGUCGACCGCGGUGUCUGCUUGAACAGUAACGUGUUAUAUAUAACCUGUGUUAUAACCUGUGUUAUACGUAUGUUGUAACCUUUGCUGGCCAGCGGCAUGAGAUCUUUCUCAUUUCAGCCUUUUUUCUUGUUACUGUCUUUGUAGACUGGGCGACAAAUAUUAUUGUUAGGGAAAGCAUGUGGAUGUGAGAGCUGCCCCAACAUAAGAACAACCUGAAUGUUUUGUAUGAAACAGGUUUGAGGUCCUCUUCUGUGCCAGUGUGUAGGAGAGACCUGAAGAUCAUCUUACACCUCAGCUUGACACAAACUGCAGACAGCAAAAUGACAGUCAGGUGAUUCAUGGCAGGGGACGUGGAAGGGUUUAGCUCCUCCAUCCAUGACACCAGUGUCUCUGCAGGAUUCAGAGCACUGUAUGAGGAGGGAUUGCUUCUUGAUGUCACACUUGUCAUUGAAGACCACCAAUUUCAGGCCCAUAAAGCACUGCUUGCCACCCAGAGUGAUUACUUCAGGAUUAUGUUCACAGCAGACAUGCGAGAACGAGAUCAGGACAAAAUCCAUUUGAAAGGUCUGACAGCUACAGGCUUCAGUCAUGUCCUACAAUUCAUGUACUAUGGAACUAUUGAACUGAGUAUGAACACUGUUCAUGAAAUCCUUCAGGCUGCCAUGUAUGUCCAGCUUAUAGAGGUGGUAAAGUUUUGCUGCUCUUUUCUCUUAGCUAAAAUCUGCUUAGAAAACUGUGCAGAAAUUAUGAGACUUCUGGAUGAUUUUGGUGUAAACAUCGAAGGAGUCAGGGAAAAAUUGGAUUCCUUUCUUCUAGAGAAUUUUGUGCCACUCAUGUCCAGACCUGACUUUCUUUCAUAUCUGAGCUUUGAGAAGCUCAUGUCUUACUUGGAUAAUGAUCAUCUGAGCAGGUUUCCAGAGAUAGAGCUGUAUGAAGCUGUUCAGGCCUGGCUACGCCAUGAUAGAAGACGCUGGAGACAUACGGACACCAUCAUUCAGAACAUCAGGUUUUGUUUGAUGACACCAUCCAGUGUUUUUGAGAAGGUAAAAACAUCAGAGUUUUACCGAUACUCCCGGCAGCUGCGACAUGAGGUUGACCAAGCCAUGAAUUACUUUCAUAGCGUUCACCAACAGCCUUUGAUGGAAAUGAAAUCGAACAAAAUUCGUUCUGCCAAACCCCAGACUGCAGUAUUUAGAGGAAUGAUAGGACACAGUAUGGUAAACAGUAAAAUUCUUCUCUUGCACAAACCGAGGGUCUGGUGGGAACUAGAGGGUCCUCAAGUACCUUUACGACCAGACUGCCUUGCCAUUGUAAAUAACUUUGUGUUCUUAUUAGGUGGGGAAGAACUGGGGCCAGAUGGUGAGUUCCAUGCUUCAUCCAAAGUGUUUAGAUAUGAUCCGAGACAGAAUACUUGGUUACGAAUGGCAGACAUGUCUGUGCCACGUUCUGAGUUUGCUGUCGGAGUGAUUGGCAGGUAUGUUUAUGCAGUGGCUGGGAGAACCAGGGACGAAACGUUUUACUCCACUGAACGGUAUGAUAUUACUGAAGAUAAAUGGGAAUUUGUGGAUCCCUAUCCAGUCAAUAAGUACGGACAUGAAGGGACUGUGCUUGGUAACAAGUUGUAUAUCACUGGUGGAAUUACAUCAUCUUCAACUUCUAAGCAAGUGUGUGUGUUUGAUCCCAGUAAAGAAGGGACAGUAGAGCAGCGAACACGGAGAACUCAAGUGGUCACUAAUUGUUGGGAGAACAAAUGCAAAAUGAAUUAUGCGAGAUGCUUUCACAAAAUGAUUUCUUAUAAUGGUAAGCUUUAUGUCUUUGGUGGUGUCUGUGUGAUCCUGAGAGCUUCCUUUGAAUCUCAAGGAUGUCCAUCUACAGAGGUUUAUGACCCAGAUACCGAUCAGUGGACUAUACUGGCUUCUAUGCCAAUAGGUAGGAGUGGUCAUGGUGUAGCUGUUCUGGACAAACAGAUAAUGGUUCUUGGAGGCCUUUGUUACAACGGUCAUUACAGUGAUUCGAUUCUCACUUUUGAUCCAGAGGAAAACAAAUGGAAAGAAGAUGAAUAUCCAAGGAUGCCAUGCAAGCUGGAUGGCUUACAGGUUUGCAGCCUGCACUUCCCUGAGUAUGUUUUGGAGCAUGUUAGACGUUGCAGCUAAAACAGAGUGAACAACCCAGUCAAAUACAAAAGAGCUAUACUAAUUUGUUGAAAAAAAUUACAAACCAGUUGAAUUCCUGCAGAGACAUUUCCUUGUCUAUAAGAACAGUGGCCAAAUGCUCAAGAGAAACAGGAUGUACAGGCAGUGUACUUACCAAGUUUAUUAGAAAAGGUGAUAGUUGCUCUGACCUUGUGAAAGCUUUGUUGUUUUUUUUAAUAAAUGUAAUUGUAAGGAUGAGAAAAAAAUACAUUUUUGAGUCUGCUUUUUUUGGUAACAUUUUAUGUCCACAAUGUGUUCUGGGUUUUUUUUAAUGGCCAUUAUACCACUAUGCUUUUGAAAUAAGUUGAGUUUGACAAAAUAUUUGUGAAAGGAAGAGAAGAAAGAUGUUAUUUUCAUUUUUUAUCAAGCAUCAAAAUACAGAUCAUCACCUGUACUUGGGUACAACCAGGUAUAAAGUAACAAGCCAACCAUUUCUGUAUUUUAUGUUGUCUUUUAGAUGCUUUUCCUAUUAACUGCAAAGUAAUCUCAAAUCUACUAGGUGUUUUUGUUUUUCCUUCUUUACUUUGGAAAAGAAUUUUAACCCUUUUGCAUGACCCUUUUCCUGGUUUUGUAUAGUUGUACCAGUAAGUCUGCCAAAAUGCAAAUUACACAUUUUCUACUAAAUUGAAAACAAAGCAUUUUUAUAUUCAAAACACUAUUUCUAUGCUGCCUUCUAUUGUCUGUGUCGUGUUUGUUGGUGAGUAAAAAAAUGUAUACACACAUGUGCAUACACUGUAAAAACUGUAUAUAAAUGCAUCUUUUUAUGUGCAGUUAAAAUAUUAUAUUUUAACUAGUGCACAGAUUCAGCCAUAUCUGUUGAGUUUUGGGUAUUUCAUGAGCUGAAUAGUUCAAAGUUCUUAAAUGAAACUGGAAGCCUCAUUUGGUAUCAAAGUAUCUUUAGUAUAUACUGAUUGAUCCAGUAACCAGAUUGAUCCAGUAACCUUAAACUCUUUAUAUUGUUGCUACAUAAUGAACUCUUGGUUAUUUGUUAUUCUAUAAAUUAUUUUUUAAAAAGUAAACUCAUACUACCUGAGUUUCGUUUUGGUUUCAGUGUGCUGCCCACUAUUCUUUUUUCGUUGAAAUUGAAAACGUCAAUAAGCAAAUGCUCAGCACUGCUGUGACCCACAGUUAUUUUUGGAACUGGAUACUGGAUAUGCUACAGUUUAUUGUCAAUACUUUAUUAUAUUCACAAUUCAAUAUGAGUACUCAUAUUGAAGUGGUAUAAUAUUUUUAUUAUUAUUAUUUAAUUAUUAACUGUUAAGAACUACUGUGUUUGGAAAAUGUGGAGUUAGGUGAUUGGUUUGUUGGUAUAAUUUGUUUCUUUUGUAAAAACCUACACAGCUAUGGCUACUGACCUUGGAGUGCCUGAAUAGAGAUGGCUGGUCCAAGAGGGCUUUGACUAUUCUAUUGCGUUAACUUGCAGGUAUAAGUGACAGUAGAUUGAUAAGAAUUAUCUGCCAAGACAUAAAUAAUAACAGUAACUGCAUUUGGACUAUCUUUGUGGAUGUAAAUUAGCCACAUGUAGAACUCAAAGGAGAGAUCUGGUGAAGCUGAAGGCUCACAUGUAGUUCAGAUGCUGAAACAUGAGCUGCAUAUUUUGUAAAAUCUUAUGCUGCUGUGUUUCAUUCUAAGCAAUAGACUUUACUUUAUAUGCAGCAAUGCAAAACCACUGUAUUCAGCAUCUCCCAGUCAGAAUUCACUGUAGAAAAGGAAUGUACAGUACUCAGGGAGUUCAAAAGAAUGCACUUACAAAGGGACCAAAAUCACCCUAAAUUUUCUAUGUUAAAAAUAACAUCUGUUUGUGUAAAUGAAAUUUCAAAUAAUAGAAGUUAAAACAAUGUGUAAAACUUCUCAUAUUGUGUUCCUGUAUAUUUGUAGGAAUUAUGUUCUGGGUUGAAAUGUGAGUAUUUGGCGCUAUAUGGCAAGUCAGCAGAUUUUUUUAGGGUUUUAUUGUUAGAAAUGAUUUAUUAAUCGAGUAUCUUCAUAUGUUUUAAAAGAAAGAGGAAAUGUUUGCCAUCAUAGCUCUAGUGAUAAGUUAUUUACACCAGAAGGGACUGGACCAAAUAUUGAUAUUCAGCCUUUUGAUGCAGACUAGUUUGCAGCUAAAUUUGUCUUUUUUAAUAAUAAUUCAGUUUACUGAAUUAGAAAUAUAAUUUACUUUCUUGAUAGCCUAACUUAAAAAAAAUGUGGCUUACAUUAAAACAUCAGUUUUACUGUGACAUAUGUACAUCACCUUGUAUGGGGAGAGAUAAACUGACUCUGGUAGGUGCUGGCUGUGUGCUGACUGUACAUAGUUCAUGGAAUACUGGGGCACAAGAGAAAAAAAAAAGGUUGGGGGAUUUUUGUUUUUUGGAGUUGGGGUUUUUUUGUUGGGUUGUUUGGUGCUUUUGUUAUUAUUUUUUUUAUCAGUCUCAUUUCUUAAUGGGGCAGCAAGCUAAUCCUAUGUGAGGCAGCUGUCAAGGGCACAUUAUACAUAGAGUACCUCACUUUAUGUGGGGCCAGUGCCAGUGUGGGGAGCAGCCCUGGCUCUGGAUAUCUGGUGUUCAGGAGUCAGAUGUCCUGGAGACACGGCCAAGACUUUAUUAAAAGUAAUGGUAAGGAUAGGGGCGUGUCAAGUUACAUUUUUGAGUCUGCAUUUAAGCACCUUCUGAAGCUCCGUGCACUCAGCAACUGCCACUACAGUCAUUGGUGAGUGUUGACACUUGAAAAAUGAAGAACCAGAUCGGUUUUGGUGCUCUGCUUUUAAGCUCCUGUUUAUCUUCAGGUGCCCCAUUCUGAAAGAUCUUGUUCAGGAUUGUAGUAGUAAUUGUUCUCUGAAAUGAUAAUUGAACUGUUGGUUUCAGCUCCCCUGAAGCUAUGUCUCCAUUGAGAGGCUGGCUGUAACCUUUCCAGCAUUAGGGAUGGUUGGAAUUUGCUUGGGAUUAGAAUGGUGGGGAUAUAUGAGAAUGUUUUGUCAGUUUACAUAUCUACUGUGCUUUCAUUGUUUCAGACCUGAAAUAUAAUGGAACUUUAUACUAUAAUGGAACUUCUGAGACAGUUACUCCGGUUACUUGGAGGGAUUUUUUUUAAUUGAAAUUUUUUUUAAUGUUUGCUCUUAGUAUUUAGCUCCAGAUAAUUUCGUACCUUAAUAGGAACAAACCUAAGAUGGCUAAUAAGAAUUGUCUAUUACCAUCAAAUUUUGAGCAUUAUGGUCAGAUUAAGAUGGGUUUUAAAAAACAUUUAAAUGCCUCUAAUUUGUCAAGGAAUAGCUAAGUUAUGAUCUUUGGUUAUUAGAUUUGGGGAGGUUCUCCUAUUCCUGUCCCAUAAUGGAAUACCAGCAAAUCUAAUGUCACCCACAUCUUUAAAAUCCAACAUAUUACUUGCUUUGAAAAGCAAAUGUACUUGCCUUUUUUUAGAAAGGUGGACAUAGCGAGUUACAGUCUAGGGGUUUUUUUUCUAUAGAAAAAAUGUAUCAGCUUCAUUUCUUAAUUUAGCAACCAACUUCAGGAGGAAAUUUUCUUUUGAAAUGAGACAAUGGACAAAAAGCGGAGUGUUCCUGUAAAGGGACUGGAUACUGCUAGUUCCCAUUUCACAUGCUCCUAGGUCUGGUUUUAGGGGACGGAUUUUUUUUUUUAUAAGUACUGCAUAAAGAAAAAAUAGCUCACUUUCUGCCACAAAGUGUUGGUAGUUUCAUUGUGGGGAGGCAUCAGCUGGCAAAAAGAAACUUUAGGUACUUUUUUCCCCUUGAAUUCAGCUGGAAGAAGGCAGACCUUGGUUUUACAGAGGUCCUGCUGUUUCAGAAAGCACUGCUAGCAAGUGGCAGCAUAUGAGCUACCUGGCAACCUGCUUUUAUGUUACUUUCUUUUGAAAAAUGUGGAUGCCCUACUUCCUGCAGUGUGAUAGCAGUCCUGUUAGAACUAGCUCUGAGGGUUUGACUGUAAUAUUUCCCUGGUUCCUAAGCUUUGCAGCUCUUUAUUCUUGAGGCCCUCUUGCCUUAGAAUCCCAAGUGCUGCAUUUCCUCAUGCUGAUAAUAUGGUACCUACUUGUGUCAGGGAUUAAGCUUCACUUGACACUCAGAAAACAGAGAUAAAAUUCAGCAGGUGCAAAUUGAAACUGAUGUAAAAAACCCCAUUGCUUAACUCAUGAUGUCCAUUCUUUAGCAAAGGGAGGGUAAGCAUUGUGAGGAGAUACUAACAGUUCUUUCAAAUAAACUUGUAGUUUGUGUCAGCCUGCAUACGUCAAAGUCUUUUUAGAUUUAGUCACAUUUGUAGAGGUAUUUUGCCUUUUUAAUAUACUUUUUCUUAAAAAAAUAAAUAGUGAAUUGGGCCCCAGAUUCUUUGAACACUUCAUGUGUUAAAGAUGUCCACAUGAAGAUGUGGACUUCACAUAUGUGAAUAGUCCAAUACAAAGAAACAGAAGACUCUAAGGUACUUAAAGGAAAACCUGUAAGCACAUGUGUUCUAAGCCUGUGUUUAAGAGUUUAUAGGGUUGGGGCCAUCAAAGAAAACACCCCUCCUGCUCUCCUGCUAAUAAAAAUAUAUAUAUCUAGGUGGUGAAGUGACUUGAAUAAGCACCUGUCACACGUGGUGGGGUGUACUGAAGGAGAGUGGGAAAGAACAUAACUGGAAAACACAUCAUCUGUUUAAACAGAACUUGCUGGUGUCCUGUAGCUAACAUUCUGAGAUUUGUUCUGAGAUUUUGUUUGUUUUAGUUUGUUAAACAACUAAAAGCUGCUUAAAAUAAAUGCUAAUGACUACUUUUGCAUCUGUAUUCUAUUUUUGAAAGCUGGUGAGUAACUUGAAAAUUUCCAUUUUGUGUGGGUAAACUUCAUAAAACAUAGUUGUAUGUGGCAGGUGGAGGAAAAACUAAUCUGUUUUGAGCACAGUUUUCCUGUGUGUCCCUCUGCUAAUUUUUUUACACUUCUCGAAGUUCAGUUUAUUUAAUAUUUUAAAAAUAGCUUUCAAAAAUCAAUUUUAAAUACCUUUGGGUUAAUAUUAAGUUGGUAGCUAGGGGAAAAGAAUUUCUAUUUGCAGAUCGUUUUUAUUUAUGACUGUGGUAGAAAAAUCUUACUGUAAGUCUAGGAAAUGAAGUGCUCUGUAGAACUGUAAAGUUAGCUAUAUUUAGGGGGGCUUUUAUUACCUCAGUGGGACCCACCUAACUUUUGUGUCAGUGUUGGAGCAGGUGAAGGGAAGAGUGAAUUAUGUUUUUAUGUUAAAUAUUUUUCCCUAUAUAUUGUUAUUUUUGUAGGUCUUUCUAAAAUAAAUUAUUAUAUGCUGGAGAUUGCAAUUCCACUAUAAUAUCCCACAAUUCCAGUGUAAAAUAUCAGAUUGUUUGUAUUGAAAAGAAUGUAUUUGAUAAGUUAACAGGAAAAGUUAUUUUCAAACUGUACUGUGUUUGUGUCUAGCUAUUGGAAAUACUUUUCCUAUAGAAAAUCAAAAUUAUAUGUGUAUGUCCUCAUAUAUACAUUUGGAUUACCUGUCUAAUGAUUACCCUAGGACUGCUAUAAACUUAUCUAAAUAAUUUAAGAAUUGCCUCUUUUUAACUGUUUUAAAGCAUUUUUUCUUGUCUUUUUUUUUUUUUGGCAGAAAGUAAUUUUCCCUUGCUAUGGAUACAGUAUGCUCAGACUUGGAUAUAUGCUCUGUUUGGGUUUCAAGCUGAAAAAAAAUGUAUAAAAUGUGUAUAAAGAAAAGUGUAAAUAAAAUAUUUUUAAUCUUUAAACACUCUUGUGUAAACUUUGUAGUACUCAAAAAUGUAGUGGACCUGGAUUAUCUUCUCCAGGACUUCAGAAAUGACUCAGUUAAACAGCUCUUCAAAACUGUCUUACUGCAAUGUGUAUGUAAGAUUUUUUAAAGUUGUUCCAUCAAGUUGGAUGUGCUUACAUAAGCAACUUCAAGCUCUUCUCUUUAGCUGUUAUUUCACAGUCUUCCCAGUCUUAGUUGCUGUAGUGUGUUUAUCUUUUUACUCUGCAUUUCAGCCUUGAACAAAUGUUUGGAGUUGACUUGGUUGUUGCAUUAGUCCCCUGGUGUGCCAUUAUGAAUUCAAACUGCCAAGGCUGAACAGGCAGGGCAGCCUUUGGUGCUGGUCAGCAGCCAGGAGAGAGCAUUCCCUGCUGUGGGGCUCACAGACCAUGUGUUCAUUGCACCCCUGGAACUCUGAGAGCCACAAGGCCAGGUUAUACUCCUUAACAUUUCCUGUAACAGGAGGGGGAAACUUCAUUUCAGGAUUAAAGUGUCAGAUCAGCAUUCAGUACCAUGGGAGGAGGAGCAGGGUGGGAGGGCAGGUAAAACAGGUUAUAAUCCUAUUUUCUCAAGCAGUUUGAUGAAAGGCUUCCUUGUCAGUCCACUGUCACACUUUUACUUUCUCUGUCACUAUUUUGUCAAGUCUCUCUCAGAUAAAAGCCCCUGGUUCAAAAGUCUGUUGUCAAGAAUAUUUGAAAAUAGCUGUGGUGUCUUUAUUUUUUUCAAUAUUGAGUUCUAAAAAGCAUUUUAGUUUUAUUUUAAUAAUUCAAAUUACUCUAAACUUCAUUUGCAUAAAGUACCUUUCCCCACCCUCUCCUCCUUCCUCUCCUUUUUUAGUAACUUUUCUUCAUCCUACACAGUGUACUGUUUAAUGGGAGAAUGCUGGGGAUGAGUUAAGGGGAGGAAGGGCCACUUUUAAUUGUAAUAUGUCCCCAUUUUGAGUUCAAAAGGAGACUAAAUGCAUUAGACUGAUACAGUGGAAGAGAAGAUUACAAUCUUGUCACAUUUAAAUAUUACUUACAUUUCUUUUCAUUUGCCUUUUUAAUUUCCCUUCUCAGGGAACCAGGUUGAAUUUUUGGCAAUACCUUUUUUCCAAGAUGUCACAAUGCCUGACUUGUUAGCACCUCUGUAGUUCGUCAGGCAUCUCCAUCAAAGUUCCCAUUAUUUCACUAAGAGCUCUCACAUUUUGACUGGUUCAUACCAAAUUCUUCUUUUUUUUUUUUUUUUUAAUAUAUGACCUUAAUUUUGACAGUAGAUAGUAAUCUGUGUUCAUUUGUUUUGUAUGGUAUGAAAUUAAUCUUAUUUUGGCAGAGGGCUUAUUUGGUGAAUGCUUUCUAUAUUCUUUGCUAUAAAUUAUUCUUGUUGACAUGAAAUUCCUAAUUUUAACAGCUGUUCCCCCUUUGUUAUAGGUUGGGAUUUUGGGGUUCUGCUUUUUGUGUUUGGGUUUAUUUGUGUGUUAAUCCAUUAACUUCAUAAUACAGAAAGGCAGAGUGUUGCUUUGGGUGUUGCACAGAUUCUGUAUCAGUUCUGUACCUUUUGAGUUCAUAAUACUCUUGUGGAUAUGUGAUCCCCUACCCAGCCUCUGGACUGUCAAAUCUUCCUGAUGGUUCGGUGUCAUCCUUUAACUGAAGGACCUGGACCAAGGCAACUUUCUUAGCAUGUGCAAAACCUUCAUUCAAGGAAGAGGGUAGGGAAUAUGUGUAAAGGCAGCUUCAAUUUCUUGUUUUCUUGAACACUUUCCACUUCUACAUUCAAUUCUAUAGCUGUGCUGACAGCUGCUGUGGGCAAUGUUAACAGGUAAAAAUAAACCUCAUCAUUAUGUCUGUUUAAGCCUGCAGUGACUGGUCAGUCAUCUAUCCAUUGGAAUGAAUGCCAGCAUUAACAUCAUAUGCUGAGCACCAAACAUUCUAGAUUGGUGGUAUGUGGUAUGUAAAGGAACUAAAAAAAUACUCUUGGCUGUGUAUCUGAUGUCUUCAAAUGUCUCCUGGUGGUGUCACCCUUGGUAGCAUUUCUCCUGUAUUACAAAUAAAUGUUGUUCAAUAAGUGGUGCUGAAUAAAAUACCUGUUUUCUAAUGAGGUAGAAGGCUUUAAUGGUUAACCCUUUUAUUGCACUGUUUAAUUUUACCAGACAGAUGUGUCUGUCUUUGGCUUAAACUGACAGCCUCCUUUCCCACAGCCUUUUCCAUAUGUCCUUAGACAUGUUCUAAACAUUGAUUUCUUUGGACUUUGUCAUGUGUUUCUUACAUGUUUGAGUUACACCAUGUGAUUAUUUUUUAUGUGUGAGAAUCUGUUCUUUCCUGUGGUGAAUUGUGCAUGGUGUGUGUCUGUUUAUAUGUACUUGAGUGCUAUUGAUGAGACUUUCUGACUUUACCAUCCUUUCUUUGUCAAAGGAAUUACAUCAUGCCAACAGAAACCAAGUAUUUCCUCUGUAGUUCUGUCACUUCAGGGUAAGAAUCCUGACGUGGUCAGUGGGUUCCUCUUGUGCUAACCUUCCCAGAUUGCCAAAGUCAUACAAAAUGCAUGGGAUUGUGCUUCUGGUGUCAAUGGAAGGCAUGGCUUUAGUGCUUCCCCUAUGUUGGUAUAAAGAUGACCUUUAUUUUCACUCCUGGAAAGCAAGGAGUUGCUCUGCUAUCAUUCUCCACCUCUCAGAAAGCCCUCCUGGCAAAUUUAUGCUCUGGAAGAGUCCAAGUUACUUAGGUGUCCUCAGUCAGUUGAGGAUAUUCCAUAGGAUUUGCCUUGUGCCACACAUGCUCUCACUUCUUCCUCUGAUCUUACAGGUAGUUCUGCAAGGAUUUUUUCAUCUAACACAGGUGGCAACUUGAUACCAAGAACUGAAUUUUAACUUACUGUAAUGAGAUCCGAAAUACCUAAGUUUCAGAGGGCAAAAGCUUUUUUUAAAAUCUAUAUAUUUCUUCUCCUGUGAAUUUGAAGUUCAUUUAAUUGCAAUCAGGAAGUUGCUGUCAAGUAAUAACUUUUCCUAAUCAUUCUCCUGACAGAUUAUCUAAAGCACUGCAAAACAUUAUGUAGUCAGAAGGAAAAAAAAAAAGGUGAUGAUAAUUAACUGAACUGCAGCUUUUAGUUGAAUGACUUUUCAUGGUCUUAAAGUUGGGAACUGAUCCAAUUAACAACCUUCUUGGAAGUGUUUAAGCUGUUUUCUUAAAAAGGUGGAUUUUGGCUUAGUGCUGUUCUCUGAAAACAAGAGGAGUGAGAUUGACCUCUGCCUAAGUUAAACACACUAAAAACCUUAGCCAAGGAAAUCUCAGUACAAAAUUGUUAACACCCAAAUAAUAACCAACUGUACUCUGCAGAACUUAUGCUCCUUAAAAAGUGAUCAGUUUCUCAAUUUUAGUUUUGUCCUAGCUUUUCUGUGCAGAAAUUUUUAUUUUUCCCAUGGUAAAAAUCAAUUACAAGAAUGUAUUUUUUGCUAAACUUGUUAAACUGGAGUAGAAAGCCGCAGAGAGAUCUGCUCUCAGAUCUGCAGCCUGGAUCAGAGCAGGCAGAACACAUUAAAGUGACUGGAUGGGUUUGCAAUUUUCCAGUGCUUUAACUUUUGAUGAUUUAUGCAAAUAAUCCAAUAUACUCCAGAGAUAAUGUCUGGUACCAGACAUACAAUUUACCUGUUUGAUAAUCCCAUUUUCUGUAACAAUGGAUUGAUCCCUCAGGCUUUUCAGUUCAUGAAAUUGCCACUCUUGAUAUUCAGCAAAGUUGUUCCUUUUUGUAACACCCAGUUUCUGGGCCUGUGUAGUACCCUGCAUUGUUACAUGCAGAGAGGAGUGAGAACCCAUUUGAUCACACUUGAGAAGUGUGACAUUUUUCUCAUCUAUACAAGAGCCAAAGCAAGCUAAGCCAUGGUUUUUUGGUGUGCCAGCACCAUAUUGUACUAAUUUACGAGUCUGAGGAGGUAGUUUCAAAUGCUUGGAUAGAAGCAGUUAAAAGUGAAGACUCAGUCAGGCUGUGCCCCACUGCCCUAUGCCCCCGCGGUUCCUGCACCAUGAGCUGCAGUCAUGCCAGCCAUGGCCCUUCUCCAGAGGGAGUGGGGGGUAGGCAUCAAUGAUGUCACAUGAGGAGAAGUAGGGGAUAAUGUGCGUUAACCAGAUAAGGGAUCAUUAGGGGAAACUACCCAAAUGACUGCUUUCAUUCGUGAUUGUGAGAGACCAGUCCUAGAGUUUCCUAAAUGCACUUCGGGACUAAGCUUGUCUAAGGUUGGUGUUGCUCCUCUGUGGCAUAUGCUCCUAGAAAGGAAGCAGUAAUAGGAGCUACCAGAUAUGAUGGGGUUUGAUAAAUAUGAGGCAAAGGAAUGCAACGGUGCAAACCCAGCCUGCACAAGUGCUUUGGUACCACAGAGCAAGGAACUGCAGGAGGACUUCCUGACUAAUAAGUGCUCUGCACAGAAAUCAGAUUAUGUCCCAGAAAGGGCAUUUUGCAUCCAUAAGGAAUGUGUACCUUUAAUAGAAAAUUAUUUGGUAGACCUAGAAACUCUUAGGUAAAUAAUGUACUGCAUUUAAUAGGCAUUCAUAUUUAUGAAUAUAUGUAAAUCAGUGCAUUUACUGGCAAAUGAGGUAAAGCUAUUCACAUCACCUUGCUAAGAAAUUAGGGAUUACUGUGAAAAUAAUUUUUUAAGGUAAAAAAAAUUCAUGCACAAAAUAUUUACAGACGGGCAACAGAUGCAGGACCUUUCAUCUUCUAUCUUCAAUUGAUUUCCGGAAUGUAUCCCGUUCAACUGAAAUCUGGGGUGCAUUUGAAUUUUGAAAGGAGCUGGAUUUUGUUCUUAUGAGUAUUUAAGGGCAUCAAAAAGCUGUUUGUAUUUUCAAUGCUACUGGUAGUCUGUUACCUGUGCUUGACUAGGCAAUCCACACAUCUCUGUUGAUGGUAUCAACUAUCUGUUGAUAGAAUGACAGAAGAAUUAUUCAUUGUGGCUGGAAGGAGUAGCUGAAAAAUGAGGAACCAGAGCUACUGGUGGCUGCAUCAAAAAGCCAAUGAUUUGAAUUAGGGGAAGGAACGUUUGGGUUUUUAACCAUGGUAUAUCAAAAGUGAAAUAGAUGCAGCUGGAUUAUACUGGGUUUUUGCAUUAUGUAUGUCUCUCUUCUACCUGCCUCUUGUCUUAUUUUAUAGAAUCUUUAUUUGGAAAGAACAGAGUGUAUUUUGGAUGCUGUCAAAAUGUGACAAAGCUGGUGAGAAAACAGGUGCUGAAAUUCGUCCUGGUUUACCUCAGAUGUGAAUGCAGUAAAGCCUUUGCUGCAAUUAAAGGAUUAAUCUUUUGCCAAAUUGGCGAGGUGAAUUGCCUCACGGUGGAAGCAUCCGGCCACCAAAGCUAGGGCAAGGUAAUUCGGUUGGGGGCCACCCCUGUCAGCCUGAGCUUGCUCUCUGUCCAGGUUUAUGCUGCUUCUUCAGAGAAGACUUCCAAAAAGGAGUUGCUGAAAA